UCCGGUUGAUCCUGCCGGAGGUUACUGCUAUCGGUGUUCGCCUAAGCCAUGCGAGUCAAAUGUAGCAAUACAUGGCAUACUGCUCAGUAACACGUGGAUAACCUGCCCUUGGGACCGGCAUAACCCCGGGAAACUGGGGAUAAUUCCGGAUACCGCAUAUAUGCUGGAAUGCUUUAUGCGUGAAAUGGAUUCGUCUGCCCAAGGAUGGGUCUGCGGCCUAUCAGGUAGUAGUGGGUGUAAUGUACCUACUAGCCUACAACGGGUACGGGUUGUGAGAGCAAGAGCCCGGAGAUGGAUUCUGAGACAUGAAUCCAGGCCCUACGGGGCGCAGCAGGCGCGAAAACUUUACAAUGCGGGAAACCGUGAUAAGGGGACACCGAGUGCCAGCAUCAUAUGCUGGCUGUCCAGGUGUGUAAAAUACACCUGUUAGCAAGGGCCGGGCAAGACCGGUGCCAGCCGCCGCGGUAACACCGGCGGCCCGAGUGGUGAUCGUGAUUAUUGGGUCUAAAGGGUCCGUAGCCGGUUUGGUCAGUCCUCCGGGAAAUCUGACAGCUCAACUGUUAGGCUUUCGGGGGAUACUGCCAGACUUGGAACCGGGAGAGGUAAGAGGUACUACAGGGGUAGGAGUGAAAUCUUGUAAUCCCUGUGGGACCACCUGUGGCGAAGGCGUCUUACCAGAACGGGUUCGACGGUGAGGGACGAAAGCUGGGGGCACGAACCGGAUUAGAUACCCGGGUGGUCCCAGCCGUAAACGAUGCUCGCUAGGUGUCAGGCAUGGCGCGACCGUGUCUGGUGCCGCAGGGAAGCCGUGAGGCGAGCCACCUGGGAAGUACGGCCGCAAGGCUGAAACUUAAAGGAAU
rnacentral:rRNA from 1 species